rnacentral:rRNA from 1 species
GGCGAGUGAAGCGGCAACAGCUCAAAUUUGAAAUCUGGCUUCGGCCCGAGUUGUAAUUUGUAGAGGAUGCUUUUGGUGCGGUGCCUUCUGAGUUCCCUGGAACGGGACGCCUUAGAGGGUGAGAGCCCCGUAAAGUUGGACACCAAGCCUAUGUAAAGCUCCUUCGACGAGUCGAGUAGUUUGGGAAUGCUGCUCAAAAUGGGAGGUAAAUUUCUUCUAAAGCUAAAUACCGGCCAGAGACCGAUAGCGCACAAGUAGAGUGAUCGAAAGAUGAAAAGCACUUUGAAAAGAGGGUUAAAUAGUACGUGAAAUUGUUGAAAGGGAAGCGCUCAUGACCAGACUUGUGCCCUGCGGAUCAUCCAGCCUUCUGGCUGGUGCACUUCGCUUGGUUCAGGCCAGCAUCGGUUCUCUGAGGGGGAUAAAAGCUUCAGGAACGUAGCUCCUUCGGGAGCAUUAUAGCCUGUUGCACAAUACCUCUCGGGGGACCGAGGUUCGCGCAUCUGCAAGGAUGCUGGCGUAAUGGUCAUCAGCGACC